rnacentral:rRNA from 1 species
CAGGUCACUCCUACGGGAGGCAGCAGUGGGGAAUAUUGGACAAUGGGGGCAACCCUGAUCCAGCAAUGCCGCGUGAGUGAUGAAGGCCUUCGGGUUGUAAAGCUCUUUUGCCAGGGACGAUGAUGACGGUACCUGGAGAAUAAGCCCCGGCUAACUUCGUGCCAGCAGCCGCGGUAAUACGAAGGGGGCUAGCGUUGUUCGGAAUUACUGGGCGUAAAGGGCGCGUAGGCGGUGAGUUAAGUCUGUUGUGAAAUCCCCGGGCUCAACCUGGGAAUGGCAAUGGAUACUGGCUCGCUAGAGUGUGAUAGAGGAUGGUGGAAUUCCCGGUGUAGCGGUGAAAUGCGUAGAGAUCGGGAGGAACAUCAGUGGCGAAGGCGGCCAUCUGGAUCAACACUGACGCUGAGGCACGAAAGCGUGGGGAGCAAACAGGAUUAGAUACCCUGGUAGUCCACGCCCUAAACGAUGCGAACUGGAUGUUGGUCUCAACUCGGAGAUCAGUGUCGAAGCUAACGCGUUAAGUUCGCCGCCUGGGGAGUACGGUCGCAAGACUGAAACUCAAAGGAAUUGAC